AAGGUCUGUUGGAAAACAGAGCAGAGAUCGGAUUCGAGCCGAUUUGAAUCGGCUUCGUUGACCCUCUGUUACUGGAAAAAUUGAUCUGUUACUACUCUCUCUGUUACUGUUACUGUUACUGUUACUACUCUCUGGUUUAUCUGUUACUGUUACUAUUUGUUACUGUUAUUCCACUUUCCCCGAAACGGUACGUUCCGUCUUCCUCUGUUUAUACAAGAGAUGAAGAUAGAUCGCUUUUAAUGUUUCUCCCCUAUUUUUUUUGAUUUUUGAUUUUAUGGUUUUACCUUUUUUGGAUUUUAUGUUGUAGAUCUGGUUAGAUCUGAUGUUUUUUUUUUUUUUAUGAUUUGGACUUUUUCAGAUUAUCAAUGACAGAGAAACUGGUAGAUCUAGAGGAUUUGGAUUUGUUACCUUCAAGGAUGAGCAAGCUAUGAGGGACGCUAUUGAAGGGAUGAACGGUCAGGACCUUGACGGUCGUAACAUCACCGUCAACGAAGCCCAGUCUCGCGGAAGCGGCGGAGGCGGCGGUCGCGGUGGUGGCGGUGGAGGCUACGGAGGUGGUGGAGGCUACGGAGGUGGUGGCCGCCGUGAAGGUGGAUACGGUGGCGGCGGUGGCGGUUACGGAGGUGGCCGCCGUGAUGGUGGUUACGGUGGUGGUGGAGGUUAUGGAGGUGGCCGUCGUGAAGGUGGUUACGGUGGUGGCUCUGAAGGAAGCUGGAGGAGUUAAAUUUUCCGUUGCCUUCAGAUCUUUUGUUUGAAAUUUAUGGUUCUAAGUUUUGUUGAAGUUCCGUUAUGGUUUACUGUUGUUCCUGUUACUGUCCUCGUUUUUGACCGCGAGAUUGUUACCGU
rnacentral:lncRNA from 1 species